rnacentral:lncRNA from 1 species
AAGACAAACAAACUCACCCCCGCUAUGGAGUUUCGUGACAGCCACCUCCACAUCUGCUAAGGAGUGCAUGCUGAUGAGGUCUGCACCGAAGGCUUUGCAUUUCAAACGUGCUGCGUCCCAGGAACUACUUUCAUUCGCCAGCAGAUAGCAAAACCCGUUAUUUGGCAGCCAGCCCACAUGGCAGUGGGUAUCUGUCCCUCAAAUGGUUCUUCCUUGAGUCACAAGCUUCUGGAAAACUGGGAGAUGUGAUGUCAGCUAUCUGUGACAUGAAUGUUAUGCUGUGCUUCCUAUGUAUCUGGCAUUAUAAGAACUCAUGAGGAGAUUCAGGCACGAACUGUCCUGAUUCUGAGACACAUAAGGUCGGAGAUUUGGAAGGUCACCCCCACCCAUGUCUCUGAGAUUAGGAAGACUCAAGCCUUCUUUUCUAAUGUGAUCGGCUUGAAGCCAAAUGUUUAAAGUAGGCCUUUUGGGGGCUUACCAAGGAGCUUCGUUAAGAAAGGAGGAGGGAGGCUCCCAGGACCCAGACAUAAGCAUAUCUCCAAUGGUGGAUGUUUACGCAGGGUGUUGGCAAAUGAAAGAGUCAGCAUCGUGAUCGGGAUGGGAGCGUGGGAGUACAGCCGCCCAGGACACUUGCACUGUCUUACAGAUGAUUGCCAGCAGAGAGCCUUGGACUGAAGGAACAGUGAGCGAUGACAAGCCUGAUAACUUAUGCCUAAAUUGAGCCACAGAACUCUACAGCUCCUUCAGAAAGGCUGCAAUUGCCCUAACCUGGAACUGUCCUAGCCUUGGAACUGUCCUGGCCUUGGGACUGUCCUAGCAUGGAAACUAUCCUAGCUUUGGGACUGUCCUGGCCUUGGGACUGUCCUAGCCUUGGGACUGUCCUAGCCUUGGGGUGCAGGUCAAGCAGCUCAAGGUGGAAAAUUCUCAGGGUGAAGACAAAUUAGGAAGUGUUCCUGCCUGGGGCAUGUGGGGUUCUCUUUGGAGUUUUAGGGGGACCUGGUUGGUUGUAGGUCCUGAGAAGGGCAGUUAUAUAGGAAAUAUGAUGAGUCCAAACAACCCAAAUCUAUCACCACAUCUAUGUAUUGACAGCAACAAUAAACCUCAAAAGAAAUAACUAAGUAGAUGCAAGACAGGUAGAAAGAAAAAGAAAACCCUUUAGGAUUUCCAGGGACUCACUAAAGGGGCCACCUCUUAUUUCUGGAAAUAGAUUCCCAGUGUCAAUCAAGCACUGAUUGCUAAAAUGAAAGGCUUUUGGGGAAUGAUAUUUUCAUUAUAUACAAAAUAUAUAUCAUAAUAUAUAACUAAAUACAUGAUAUAUCAUAUAUU